AUUGAACGCUGGCGGCAGGCCUAACACAUGCAAGUCGAACGCGUGGCGGACGGGUGAGUAAUGUCUGGGAAACUGCCCGAUGGAGGGGGAUCACUACUGGAAACUGUAGCUAAUCCCGUAUCCCCUCGGAUGCGCACAGAUGGGAUUCGCUAGUAGGUGGGGUAACGGCUCACCUAGGCGACGAUCCCUAGGUGGUCUGAGAGGAUGACCAGCCACACUGGAACUGAGACACGGUCCAGACUCCUACGGGAGGCAGCAGUGGGGAAUAUUGCACAAUGGGCGCAAGCCUGAUGCAGCCAUGCCGCGUGUAUGAAGAAGGCCUUCGGGUUGUAAAGUACUUUCAGCGGGGAGGCGUUACUCGCAGAAGAAGCACCGGCUAACUCCGUGCCAGCAGCCGCGGUAAUUC
rnacentral:rRNA from 1 species